UACAGAGGGUGCAAGCGUUAAUCGGAAUUACUGGGCGUAAAGGGUGCGUAGGUGGCUAAGUAAGUUAGGUGUGAAAUCCCCGGGCUUAACCUGGGAAUGGCGCUUAAUACUGCAUAGCUAGAGUACUAUAGAGGGUAGUGGAAUUUCCAGUGUAGCGGUGAAAUGCGUAGAUAUUGGAAGGAACACCAGUGGCGAAAGCGACUACCUGGAGAGAUACUGACACUGAGGCACGAAAGCGUGGGGAGCAAACAGG
rnacentral:rRNA from 1 species